rfam:Triticum aestivum genome assembly, contig: Triticum_aestivum_CS42_TGACv1_scaffold_515556_6BS
GUCAUACUCCCUCCGACCGAAAAUAUUUGUCAAAAAAACGAAAAAAAUGAAUGUAUCUGAAACUAAAAUACAUCUAGAUACUUUCAUUUCUUUAAUAAGUAUUUCCGGACGGAGGGAGUAUAUU